GGACAGGAAGUAGAGGCUGAAUGAUGCCCCUCCCCCGGCUGCAGGCUGUGCUCAGGCGACAGUCGCCCCACUGUCCGCGAGACUUGCGGCAAACGACAACAAAGUGCAGGCAACUGAAGAAGCAGCUGCGACCUGGAAAAGUGAACAAAUCCUUGAGACUGACAUUGGUGAACUGGACAACCAGUUGUCUCAAAGCAACGCCAACACAUCGUGUAUGUAUGACAUACAUAGAUUAACAAAUUGUGUAGUACGUUUAUGUGAUAUUUACAAGAAACCCAAGAAAACUGUACUAGAUAAAAAUCCACACGUGAAAAGCCACACUGGUGCGAAGCAUUAUUCUUGUGAGACAUGCAAUUAUAAAUGUUUACGAAAAAGGGAUUUAUUAGUACAUAAAAGAACCCACACUGGUGAGAAGCCUUAUUCCUGUAAGACAUGCAAUUUUAAAACUGCAUACAAAUGUCAUUUAGUGAGUCAUAGAAGAACCCACACUGGUGAGAAGCCUUAUUCCUGUGAGACAUGCAAUUUUAAAUGUUUACGAAAAAGGGAUUUAUUAGUACAUAAAAGAACCCACACUGGUGAGAAGCCUUAUUCCUGUAAGACAUGCAAUUUUAAAACUGCGCGGAAAAGUUACUUAAUUAUACAUGAAAGAUAUCACACUGGUGAGAAGCCUUACUCUUGUGAGACAUGCGAUUUUAAAACUGCUUACCAAUGUCAUUUAGUGAGUCAUAGAAGAACCCACACUGGUGAGAAGCCUUAUUCCUGUGAGAUAUGCAAUUUUAAAUGUUUACGAAAAAGGGAUUUAUUAGUACAUAAAAGAACCCACACUGGUGAGAAGCCUUAUUCUUGUGAAAUGUGCAAUUAUAAAACAGCAGAUAAAAGUUAUUUAACAUAUCACAUGAAAACGCACACUGGCGAAAAGCCUUUUUCUUGUGAGACAUGCAAUUAUAAAUGUGCUCAGAAAAGUGAUUUAAAAAGACAUAAUAGAACCCACACUGGUGAGAAGCCUUAUUCUUGUGAUAUAUGCAAUUAUAAAACUGCAAAAAAAGAUAGUUUAAUAAGUCACAUGAAAACGCACACUGGCAAUAAGCCGUACUCUUGUAAAAUGUAAAUGUAAUUAUAAAUGUGCACAUAAACAUAGUUUAUUAUAUCAUAUGAAAACGCAGACUGGCGAAAAGCCUUUUUCUUGUGAGACAUGCAAUUAUAAAUGUGCUCAGAAAAGCAAUUUAAAAAAACAUAAUAGAACCCACACUGGUGAAAAGUCUUUAUCGUGAGAGAGAAGCAAUGCUGUGAAUGAUACUGAUGGUAUACAAAACAAUGUAUGUCUUAAUCUUUCUCCCACAUGUGUUAAGUACUUGGGCUUCAAGCAAAGUAGCCAUUAUAGAAAUUUGUGCUUAGACACACAUUCCAUUUAGCAUACAUUCAUUUUUAUAUUAUAGAUUUAUUGUUU
rnacentral:lncRNA from 1 species